AUUGCAAGUGAUGUGUUGUGCUGUGUGUUAAUUGUACAUUUUCCAGGCUGAAACGGACCAACCAAAACAAACCAAAACAAACCCACUCAGAUGAAGGCUGGGAUGUUUCCGCGCGGCACUGGACUGUUCUGGACGGACGGAUUUGGACUCUUGAAGCGGACGACAAAUUGAUGCUGAAUCGAAGGAUGUCGCAUGCAGCUGGACUGGACAUGAAUGUGGACCACGGCACGGGGCCGGAACUAUUUAGCGGGACUGGCGCUGGACGGACUGCUGCCAUGCUGACCCGGAAUUGCCUCAAACGGCCUAUUUGAAGACAGCUAUAACGGAUGCCGAGAAGGGAAGUUGACUUCCAGUUAAAGGUAAGUGUGUGAACAAAUUUUAAUGUUUUCUUUUUCAUUUUAGGAACAAUCGGAUGGCAAAACCCAAGAUGCGAAAUCCACCCCCAAGGAAGACUUCAAUAAGAACCUACAUUUAACAUAAACUCCCACAUUAAACAUUAACCCACUAAAUCCCAAAAUUUUUGCUAAAUAUUGUGAUAAAUAAAUAAACACUUAAAUAACUAACAAA